GAGGAUAUAGCUGAAGUGGUAGAGUGCAUGCUUAGCAUGCACGAGGUCCUGGGUUCAAUCCCUAGUACCUCCU
rnacentral:tRNA from 1 species